UCAUUCUCCAGUUCGGCAUCUAGGAAAUCCAAGGUGACAGGCUCCUGAGAUUUAGGAUUCUACAGUAGAAAAUAACAGGAAGUGUUCCAGUAAUCACAAGACCCAGUUCCUUAAAAAAAAAAAAGAAAGAAAGAAAGAAAGAAAGAAAGAAAGAAAGAAAGAAAGAAAGAAAGAAAGAAAGAAAGAAAAAGAAUAUGUUAAAUUGUAGCAUGGUUGAAAGGACAUACUUAGAGACCACAUGAACUUUGUCUUAACAUCACUUAGCCUAUCAGUUGGAACUUCAACAGAAAACCAGACAUUCCGGUCAAUGAACUUUUGGCCAUAGGAAAUACAGCAGGGCACAAUAAUUGCUUUUCUAAGUCACACAGUGUCCCAUGAUAGUCUUACAGAAAUUGAAACACUAUGACCAUAGCACAACUUUUGUUGAUUGUGUGAACUAUGGGAGGUUGAGAUGAAGGUUCAGCAGUAUUUUUAGCAUGGAUUGAGGUAAGCAAGUCUCGCUUUAUCUAUAUCAGAAGACAUGAUUGCAGCUAAUAGUGCUUAUUUUUUGUCCAACUUCCUGUAUCUGUUUAUUUUACAAGAACCAACGGAUAAGUAGCCAGAAGAGAAGAGUAUCUUGCUCUUCGUGUUCUGUAUCAUAUUCAGCAAAAUAAGGGCAACUAACUGGGGGAAAGGUUAUUGAAUCAGCAUUUUAUUUCCAGGACAUUCAUACUAAUUUUAAUAAGGUCCCUAAGCACUAAGAAGAAUUACCAAUAAGGAUAAUAGUAUCACAACUUUAGUGUUUUGUAAAGAAAAAUUAACAUUUGACCCAGGAAAAUAAAUUAUGUAGUUUUAGUAAUUUCAUUAACCUUUGCAAUCCCUGGCAUAGGCCUUAAUAUAAAUUAGCAUAGCCAUUGUAAGGCAGUUCAUGUUAGCAAUAAAUGAUCCUGUAGGUAAUGGAAUUUCCAGGAAUUACCAAAACUCUUUCCCUGACUCUUAGGUAAUCUAAUUUCAAAACUGAUUUAAUCAAAUUAAGGCUGCAUCAUCAUAAUGCAAUCACCACAUGUAAUACCUGUUGGGGUUUUUUUUUAAACUAGCAAAAAAGCAUGUCUAAAUUUAAAAGUAUAAAUAAGCAUUAAAUAAGACAGUCUAGAAUAAUAGAUAUUUGGCUCUAGUUUUAGGAAGACCUGGAUUUAAGUCUUGCCUCUGACACAUUAACUAUAUGAAUGUGGUUAAGAUGCUUAGCUUAACUUUGUAAUUUCCAAGGUGAAUGUUCAAAAUUAUAAAUUAUAGAUGAAUUCCCAUUCCAUAUCAGCAAAGGUAAGAACAACACUGGAAGGCCCAAAUACUGAUAAAAUCACAGAUCUGUAGCAGUAUGUAUAUAUUAAAACAUAUUUUUAUUUGUUAUUUUUAUGUAAUCAUACAACUUGCUUCCUUAAUUUGGAAAUGAUGGAGAUUUGAGAGGAAUAUGUGGCGGAUGAAUGGAGAUAUUAGAAAAUUUCACCUGACUAGAAUGAUAGAAUAAAACUUUGAAGAUGAAACAAAAAUACCCAUUAAGUAAUGUAUUUAGAUUUUAAAAAACAGCAACUUACAUAAGUAUGAGAAAAGACAGUUAUUUUGACAUAACUCACAAAGGAAAAAAAAAAGACACCAAAAAUUAAGGGUUCUCAUAGACUAUGGCUUUCAUACGAGUCCACAGGAUGAGGAAAAAGAAUGUGAAUUAAAUGAGAAAUUAGACUAUAUUAAC